rnacentral:lncRNA from 1 species
UGUUUAGAGUAGAUUUAUUCAUAAUUGCCAGAACUUGGAAGCAAUCAAGAUGUUCCUCAGUAGGUAAAUGGAUAAAUGAGUUGUGGAAUGUCCAGACAAUGGAAUAUUACUCAGCAGUAAAAAGAAAUAAGCAUGUUGAUAAAGCAACCCAAAAGCUAGACACAGAUUAAAUGCAAGCCCUACCAAAAUUCCAAGGACAUUUAGUACAGAAAUAAACAAUUGUACAUUUUCUAUGUAUAACUGUUCAUGAAAUGAAAAAAGAUCUCAAAUAGCCAAAACAAUCUUAAGUGAGAAGAGCAAAGUUAAAGGCAUCAUGUUACGAUAGUGACAUAAAAACAGACACAUAGAUCAAUGGAACAAAACAGAGAGCCCAGAAAUCAUCCACACAUAUAUGGUCAAUAAAAUUAUGACAAAGGAGCCAAGAAUAUACAAUGGGGAAAGGACAAUUUCUUCAACAAAUAAUGCUGGGAAAUUGGACAGUCCCAUGCAAAAGAAAGAAACAACCCUUAUCUUACACUGAAAUCAACUUAAAAUGGAUUAAAAGCUUGAAAGUAAGACCUGAAACCAUAAAAUUCCCAGAUGAAGAGCUAAGCAAUAAGCUCCUAGACACUGGUCUUGGUGAUUUUUUUGGAUUUGACCUCAAAUAUGAAAGCAGAAGUUAAAAAAAAAAAAAGAAAAGGGACACAUCCAACCAAAAAGCUUCUAUACAGCAAAGAAAACCAUCAAUAAAAUGAAAAAGAGACCUACCAAAUCGGAGAAAAUAUUUGUGAACCAUCUAGUCUUUUAGGGAUUAAUAUCCAAAAUAAACAAAAAAAAAUCAUAGAAAUCAAUAGCAAAAAGUAAAUAAACCUAUUUUAAAUUGGGCAUAAGAUUUGAACAGACAUUUUUUCCAAAAGAGAUACACAGAUAGCUAACAGGCUUAUGAAAAGAUGUUCGACAUCACUAACCAUGAGGGAAAUGCAAAUCGAAAUUACAAUGUAAUAUCACUUCACACCUGUCAGAACAGCUAUUAUCAAAAAGACAAGAAAUAACAACUGUUGGUGAGAAUGCGUAGGAAAAGGUACCGUCAUACACAGUUGAUGGGAAUGUAAAUUGGUGAAAAUAGAAAAUAAUAUGGAGGAUCCUCGAAAAAUCUCUGUCUAUGUCUAUACAAUGGAAUAUUAUUCAGUCAUAAAAGAAGGGAAAUCUGCCUUUUGCAACAACAUGGAUGGAGCCUAAGUGAAAUAAGUCAGAGAAGAACAAAUACUGUAUGUUCUUCCUUAUAUGUGGAAGCUAAAGCUAAACUCGUAAAAAUAGAGAGGAGAAUAAUGGUUGGCAGAGGCUGGAUAGUAGAGGAAAUGGAUGUUGGCUAAAGCAUACAAAUGUCUAGCUAUACGAUUAAUAAAUUCUCAGAGUUCCCGUCAUGGCUCAGUGGUUAACGAAUCUGACCAGGAACCAUGAGGUUGCGGGUUCAAUCCUAGGCCUUGCUCAGCGGGUUAAGGAUCCAGCGUUGCUGUGAGCUGUGGUGUAGGUUGCAGACACGGCUCGGAUCCUGCGUGGCUGUGGCACUGCCCUAGGCCAGUGGCUACAGCUCCGAUUCGACCCCUAGCCUGGGAACCUCCAUAUGCUACAGGUAGGGCACCAGAAAAGACAAAAAGACAAAAAAAUUAAAAAAAAAGAUUAACAAGUUCUAAGAAUCUAAUGUACAACACAACAGAGUACCUCUGAUUAACGAUACUGUAUUACAUACUUAAGGGUUUUAUGAGAGUUCAUCUUAAAUGUGAUUACCCCAAAAAAGAAAAAAUGGUAAUGUGAGGGGAUGGAGAUGUUAACAAACCUUACUGUAAUAAUCUCACAAUAUAUACAUGUAAAUAUAAAUACAUAUGUAAAUAUAAAUACAUAUAAAUCAUCAGACAUUAAACUGACAUAUAUUACAUGUCAAUAACAUCUCAAUAAACAUGGGAAAAAUCUAUAAUUUUUGAAAAGUUAAAAAAAAUUAAGUUGUCCCAAAAAAUGCACUUUUAACUUUUUACUACUUAAAUGAAUUUUAUUAUAUUUAUAGUUGUACACACUUUCAAAUAGUUCAGGAAAAAAUAUCAAGAUAUAGUAGAGGAGACAAUAAAGCAAACGUGGCAAAUGUUAAGAAUUGUUAAAUGCAGAUAAAGAGUACAGCUGAGUUCUUUCAACUUGUCUGUAAGAUUUAAAUUAUUUCCAAUCAUAAAUGAGAGAGAGAGAUCCCAGUUCUAGAACUAUAUAAUCAGUAAUCCUACAAGUUCUUAUUGAAUAGAUUUGAGGCAAAACCUGGAUUUGGAAUUUUUUUGUUUUAGGGCCACACCUGUGGCAUAUAGAAGUUCCCAAACAAGGGGCUGAAUCUGAAUUGCAGCUGCCAGCUAUGCCACAGCAGCAGCAAUGCCAGAUCCAAGCUACAUCUUCAACCUCCGCCGCUGGAUCUUUAACCCAUAGAACAAGGCCAGAGACCAAACCGCCACCCUCAUGGAUAUUAGUCAAGUUCAUAACCUGCUGACCCACAAGGGGAACUGUAUGGAUUAGGGAUUUUUUAAAGUCCCCCCUCCCCAGUGAUUCUGAAGUAUAAUCAGACUUGAGAAUCAUGCCUCUAAAAGGACAUACUCUCACCUGUAAAAUGAUCCCACAAUAUUGUUCAUUAAGUUGAAGACCAAAAUCUUACUCCCAGUUUUUUUUAAUGAGAUCAAAUUUCAUCAUUAUAAUGAAUAAUAAAUAUUGAUACUAUUAAGGAAAAUAUCAUAAAAGGCAUUUCUGGGUUUUACAUUGUAUAUGAAAUUCAGGGUCUCUGCCCACCGGGUAUCUGUGAGUCUUCCUCUCAUGCCUGCUGUGGGGUCAUGUGUGCAGGCUAAACACUGCAGUCAAAUGUCCUGUGUAGACUAAAUUUAAUUUCCCAGGGAAGCAAACCAUCCUUCCUUAAAGCUGCAUGAGUGACAAGAGCCCUUUUUACUAGGCAUGAUAGAUAAUUCUGAAACAACCAGCUCCAGACAAUCUAGUGAGUAAUGAACUUGAGCAGGGCAGUAGAGGACCGCAUGAUUUACAUUCAUUAAAACUAAUUAAAACCACAAGCAGAAACGAAAAGCUAGUGCCUUUUAUAAUCAACGAUUAUUGGACUACACUACAAACUACUUCUAACUCUUUUAAGCCGUCCCUCUCUGAACAGUUAACUCUCUCUAUCCCACAUCCUAGACUGGCGUUUCAUGUUGGAUUUUGCCUUCUGCCAAGGAGAUUAUUUAUUAUUCUGAAAUAGGGACUCUAUUAUCAUUACAUUUAUUUCCAGGGUAAAAUGUAAACAGUCUAGCAGGUGUUUAUGAUUCCAUCUGAAGCAAUGGAGAUACGGUAUCUCAUACAUCUCUUCCUUCUUCCCACAAGUAGGUGUUCUCUGAAAAGUACCAUACAGGUCUUUCUGUAAUCUUGAGACCAAAAUAUUUUAAAAGUACACAGACUAAAAGUUUGACCUCCAAGUUGAAGCCAUCCACGAGUACACUCAGAUCCACUUUUUACUCAAUGCCUCCAAGUAGAGUUCUGAUGUAAUCUCUAACUCAACUAUAUAAUCAAUCCUCAAAUGAAGUUCUUUGGGCAAUAAACAAUAUCUCCAACCAGCUCCAAGAUCCUUAAUGAAUAUUGUAACAUCUAUAAAGUCAAAUGGUACAUUCCAAUAAAAAAAAAUGGGUGACAUCAUGGGUCAUUUUUUUCUUUUUUAUAGGGCUGUACCUGCAGCAUAUGGAGGUUCCCAGGCUAGGGGUGGAAUUAGAGCUGUAGCCACUGGCCUAUGCCACAGCCACAGCAAUGCCAGAUCCAAGCCGUGUCUGCAAACCACACCACAGUUCACAGCAACGCCAAAUCCUUAACCCACUGAGUGAGGUCAGGGAUUGAACCUGCAAUGGAUCAAUUUUUAAUUCCAGAUUCAGUGAAUAUAAUUCCAUAUCUUUUAAAUGGAUAUUCAGGGAGUGGCACAGGAGCUAUACUACCGGACUCAUAAGAAAUAAAGUAUAAAAAAGAAGUUGACCAAGUCCUUGGAGUUUAUCAAAAGUAGUAAACAAGUUAUGGUAUAAUUUACCACAAGCUGGACAACUCACAGUUACCUAAUCACAUUAUGAACUGUCAUAGCGCUGUGCCUUGACACGUCAUAUUUUUCACUGGGAAUCCCCUUUCUCCUCCUGAAAAAUAAAGAUCUAUUCCAAAUGAAGUGAACCUCCUUAUUUAAGUCACAUUUUGAUCUGGUAUUUCACAUUUUUUGAGUGAUUUUAAUUUAUUCUAUACUUGCUUUAUUCCUUUUGUAGGUGUCCAUGUCACUCACAUUAUUAAUUCUUAUAGGACUGGACUAAGCUAUAUUAAUUUUUGUAUUUUUAUACCUCCAACUGCCUAGCAAGGUGCUUGGUACAGCAUAAGGCCCCAAAAUACAUGAACCAAAUUUAAAGGAAUACUAUCAUUCUAAAUUAAUACGAUACACAAUCCACUACUUUUAUUCAUUUAAAUUUAUCAUUUUUCUGGUAAACAAAUAUUUGUAUUGAAGUAUGGUGAACUACAACACCAUGUUAUUUCCAGAUGCAUCCCAUAAUGGUUCAAUAUUUCUAUAACUAUAUGACCACCACAACGUCUAGAUACUCUCUACCACCAAAGUUAUUUCAGUAUUAGUGACAUUUUCUCCACACUAUAUAUUUUAUCUCUGUGACUUGUUUAUUCCAUAACUAAAAGUCAGUACCUUUUAAUCUGCCUCACUUAUUUUACUCAUCAUGGAUAGAACAAACAGAUAGCUGCCUGAGAUAAGAGGUUUAUUUUUCCUUUUGUUUCUCUUGCCUGAGAGGACAGAUCCAAAAGAAAUACUGCUAAGAUCAAUGUCAAGAGUAUACAUCUUAUCUUUUCUUCUAGGAGUUUUGUGGGUUCAGGUCUUACUCUUAAGCCUUUAAUCUACUUUGAGUUUAUUUCUGUAUAUAGUGAGAGAAAGUAGUCCAGUAUGAUUCUUUUGCAUGUACCUUCCAGUUUUUCCCAACGCUAUUUGUUGAAGAGACUGUCUUUUUUCCACUGUACAUUCUUGCCUCUUUUGUUGUCAAUUAAUUGACCAUAUAAGCAUGGGUUUAUUUCUAAGCUCUCUAUUCUGUUACAGUGAUCUAUGUGUCUGUUUUUGCCAAUACCAUACUCUUUAGAUCACUGUGGCAUAGUUUGAAAUCAGGGAAGAUGAUAUCUCCACAUUUGUUCUUCUUGCUCAAGAUUGUUUGGCUAUGUGGGGUCUUUUGAGUUUCUAUAUAAAUUUUAGAAGUAUUUGUCCUACUUCUGUGAAAAAUGCUAUUGGUAUUUGGAUAGGGAUUGCAUUGAAUCUGUGGAUUUCCUUGAGUAGUAUGGCAUCCUUGUCUUGUUCCCAGUGGUAGAGGAACUGCUUUUGUCUUUUCACCAUUGAGUAUGAUGUUAACUUGUGGGCUUAUCAUAUAUAUCCUUUACUUAUGUGGAUAAAUGCUCCCUAUAUACCCACUUUGUUAAGAGUUAUUUUUAUCAUAAAUGAAUGCUGAAUUUUGUCAAAAACUUUUUCUGCAUCUAUUGAUACUUUUAUUCUUCAAUUUAUAAACAUGAUGUAUCACAUUGAUUAAUUUGUGGAUAUGAAUCAUCCUUGCCCCCCUGAGAUAAAUCUCUCUUGAUAAUGGUGUAUGAUUCUUCUAAUGUAUGGUUGCAUUUCAUUUACUAAUAUUUUUUGAGGAUUAUUUGAAUCCAUGUUCAUUAGUAAUAUUGGACUAUAUUUUUCAUUUAUUUUAGAUAUCUUUGUCUGAUUUUGGUAUCAGAGUGACGCUGGCUUCAUAGAAUGAGUUCAGAAGUGUUUUUCCACUUCAAUUUUUAAAAAUAUUUUGAGAAGGACAAGUGUUAACUUUCAAGUAUUUUUAGAAUUCACCUAUAAAGCCAUCUGGUCCUGGACUUGUUGGGAGUCUUUUGCUUGUUUGUUUUUUUUAUGGCCACACACUGCUGGCAUAUGGAAAUUCCUGGGCCAGGGAUUGAAUCUCCAGCCAGAGCUGCAGCAACACUGGAUUCUUAUUUUUACUUUUGUCAAAUCUUCAUCAUCAUGUGAUGUCCUUCAUUCUCUCAUUAUGGUCUUUGUUUUAAAGUAUUUUUUCUGAUGCAAGUAUUGCAACCCCAGCUUUACGUUCAUUUCCUUUUGCAUGGAAUAUCUUUUUCCAUCCCCCUUACUUUCAGUCUAUGUGUGUCUUUAGCUCUGAAGUGUGGGGAGCAUAGAUAUGCCUCUCUCUUUUUUUUUUAAAUCCAUUCGGCCACUCUAUGUCUUUUAAUUGGAGCAUUUAGUCCAUUUACAUUUAAAGUAAUUAUUGAUAGUUAUGUAAUUAUUGCCAUUUUGUUCAUUGUUUUCUGGUUGGUUUUGUAGUUCUUAUUUGUUCCUAUAUUAUUCU